GAUGAACGCUGGCGGCGUGCCUAAUACAUGCAAGUCGAGCGAACAGACGAGGAGCUUGCUCCUCUGACGUUAGCGGCGGACGGGUGAGUAACACGUGGAUAACCUACCUAUAAGACUGGGAUAACUUCGGGAAACCGGAGCUAAUACCGGAUAAUAUAUUGGACCGCAUGGUUCAAUAGUGAAAGACGGUUUUGCUGUCACUUAUAGAUGGAUCCGCGCCGCAUUAGCUAGUUGGUAAGGUAACGGCUUACCAAGGCAACGAUGCGUAGCCGACCUGAGAGGGUGAUCGGCCACACUGGAACUGAGACACGGUCCAGACUCCUACGGGAGGCAGCAGUAGGGAAUCUUCCGCAAUGGGCGAAAGCUUGACGGAGCAACGCCGCGUGAGUGAUGAAGGUCUUCGGAUCGUAAAACUCUGUUAUUAGGGAAGAACAAAUGUGUAAGUAACUAUGCACGUCUUGACGGUACCGAAUCAGAAAGCCACGGCUAACUACGU
rnacentral:rRNA from 1 species